GUUUAUUUCUGGGUACGUCAAUUAAAGUUAACAAAAAUGUAAAAGGGAAAAAAAAACAAGAGCCAGCCCUGAUGGCCUAGUGGUUAAAGGUUGGCGCUCUCACUGCUUCGGUAGCCUGGGUUCGUUUCCUGGUUAUGGAAUGGCAGCACCCAUCUGUCGGUUGCCAUGCUGGGGGCGGGGGCUCACACAGAAGAACUAGAAUGACUUACAACUAGGAUACACACUCGUGCACUGGGGCUUUGGGGAGGAAAAAAAAAAGAGGAAGAUUGGCAACAGGUGUUAGCUCAGGGCGACUCUUUCCCUGAAAAAACAAAAAACAAGCAACAAGGGCUUACAAUACAGCAACAAGCGGCCAUUAAGAGACCACAUUUGGCUUCUCUGCAACUCACCUGGCCUGACUGUACUGCAGACUUGCACUGUUAUAAUGGUGUCAUUUUUAUGAAGGCAAACGUUGGGUAACUUGACAUCCAAAGGAAGUGAAUAUAAUGAUUGAUUUUACUGUGAACAGAUUCUCAGUUUCAUCGUGUUCAUGAAAAGAGGAGAAAGAACAACUUGACUAAAAAAUGUGGCAGCCCUUAUUUAUAAUUGUUUAGUCUAUUAUAUUAUAUAUAUAUUAUAACUAAUAGGAUCUAAGUUCGCCCCCAUCAUCCCCAACUCCUGGUGUUCGUAUCCUUGUGUGAUUCCCUCCCCUUGAGUAUGGGCGGGACCUGUGAUGUGCUUCUAAUCAAUAGCAUAUGCAAUGUAUGUGAUUCUGUGUAUGUGAUUCUGUUACAUAAAAUGUAGUGCCUUGCUGGAGUCUCUCACUUUCUUGUCGACUACGAAGAAAAAAGUUGCGCGUUGUGGGUUGCCUGUGUCGGAAGACCCACGUAGGAAGGAACUGAAUGUAGCCUUUAGAAACUGAGAGUGUCCUCUGGCCAACGGUGAGCAAGAUUGAAGGCUUCAACCCUACAACCACAAGAAAAUGAAUUCUGCAAAAAGUGAAUCCUUCACCGGUUGAGAUUUAUGUGACAUCACAGCACCCACCAACACCUUGACUACAACUGAUGAGACUCUACUCAGAGGACUCGUCCUCUUGGAUUAUGACCGAGGCCCUGCCAACAAUGAGCUGAUGUUAUCUCAAAAAGUGUUCCCAGUGUCCUUGUCAGUGAAGGAGUUUUCACUGUGGCAAAAUGAGAAAAUAUAGGUAGAACAACUAGGAAAAAAUCUAAAGGACUAAGACAGAGGGAAACAGUGAAACUAUCAGCAUGCAGACCUUUGACCUUGACUACAUCUGGAGCAUUUGAAGGAACAAGGAAACAAAGUGGGGACAGCUACUCCACAGUCCCGGCCCCGGAAGCGACAUGUUCUAUUGGCAGAUGACACGAGCUUUAGGCGGCAUCGGGCGCAAAGCACAGAGUGUCGUGCAGUCUGGCUUCUCUCCACAUUUGUGUUUCCAAGGGUAUUCCAUUUGAAUCUGAUAACCCAUGUCAAGUCCCUUUCCUAAAGUGUGCAGAAUUAGUGACGCCAGAAUUGAGCAGCUCUUCUGGGUUAGCACCAUUUUCCACUGUUAUCUCUCCUUUCCUAUCUUGUUCUGUGUUUCGAAAAAAGAGUAAAAAUAAAGAGCAGGGUGAGGGGCCAGCCCCGCAGCAUAGCGGUUACGUGAGCACGCUCCGCUGCUUGCCACCCAGGGUUCGGAACUGGGGGCGUGCACUGAUGCACCGCUUGUCAGGUCAUGCUGUGGCGAUGUCCCAUAUAAAGUGGAGGAAGAUAGGCACAGAUGUUAGCCCAGGGCUGAUCUUCCUCAGCAAAAAGAGGAGGAUUGGCAUGGAUGUUAGCUCAGGGCUGAUCUGCCUCACAAAAAAAUAAAAAUAAAAAUAAAGAGCAGGGUGUAUAAAUAUCUACUUAAUCACUGACAAAGGAAAUCUUCCUGCCCUCCCUCUCCCCCACACCGAAUGUCUAUAAUACAGUUUCAAGCGCAGAAGAAUAGACAUAGCUGUGUGUUCUCCCAAAGCAAUGCCCUUACAAUGAUUGUUUGAAAUUACCCUACCAGUGAACAUUAUGAAAAUAAAAGUAAGUGAAAUUAAGAAAAUAAUUCCAUUUUGUCUAACAUCAUAAAUGGUAAAAUAGGUGUAAAUUUAACAAAACGCAAGACUGGUACACAGAAAACUACAAAACGUGGUUGAAAGAAAUGAAAGAAAAUCUAAAUAAGUGGGAAUAUACCACAUGAUCUUAGAUUGGAAAAGUUAAUAUUGUUAAGAUGGAUAUACUCCCCAAAUUGACCUACAGAUUCUACACAAUCUCUUUCAAAAUCUUCACCAACGUUUUUGCAGAGAUUGACAAGCUGACCUUAAAUUUCACAUAGAAAUGCAAGAGACUCAGAAUAGCCAGAUAAUCUUGAUCAAAAAUAACAAAGUUGGAGGAUUCAUACUUCCUAAUUUUAAAACUUACUACAAUGAUAGAAGAAAAUGUUAGUAAAUUUUCAUGACUUUGAGUUAGACUAUGGUUUCUUAGAUAUGAUACCGAAAACACAAGCAACAAAAGAAAAAGAGACAAAUUGGACUUUAUUAAAAUCAAAUAUAUAUAUGUAUUUGCUUCUAAUGAUACCACCAAUAGAGUGAAAAUACAGCACACGGAAUGGAAGGAAAUAUUUGGAAAUCAUAUAUCUGUUAAUGUUUAGUAUCCAGAAUAUAUAAAAAACUCUUACAACUCAACAAUAAAAACCCAACCAACCCAAUUUAAAAAUGGGCAAAGGGGGCCAGCGUGGUGGCGUAGUGGUUAAGUUCACGUGCUCCACUUUGGCAGCACGGGGUUUGCAGGUUCAGAUCCCGGGUGUGGACCUAUGCUCUGCUUAUCAAGCCAUGCUGUGGCAGGCAUCCCACUUAUAAAAUAGAGGAAGAUGGGCACAAAUUUUAGCUCAGGGACAAUCUUCCUCAGCAAACAGAGGAGGAUUGGCAACAGACGUUAGCUCAGGGCUAAUCUUCCUCACCAAAAGAAAAAAGAAUUGACAUGUUACAUUUAAAAAAAAAAUAAAAAUGGGCAAAGGACGUGUAUAGAUACUACUCUCAAGAAAAUAUACGGCUCACAAACAUAUGAAAAGAUGCUCAGUGUUGUUAGUCAUUAGGGAAAAGCAAAUUAAAACUAUAGUGAAAUACCAUUUCAAACCCACUAGGAUUGCUAUAAUAAAAAAGACAGACAAUAAAGUGUUGACAAGGAUGUGGAAAAAUUGGAAUCCUCAUCCACUGCUGUUAAGAUUGUAAAAUGGCUAAUGCCACUUUGGAAAACAGUUUGGAAGUUCCUAAAAAUGCAAUGCCUAGAUUUACAUAAUCCAGUAAUUCCACUCUUGCAUAUACAUUCAAGAGGAAUGAAAACAUACGUCCACUCAAAAACUUAAACAAGAGUGUUCGUAGCAGCAUUACUCAUAACAACCAAAAAGUGGAAACAAACUAAAUGUCCACCACCUGUUGAGUGGAUAAAUAAAAUUUGGUAUAUCCAUGCAAUGGAAUAUUACUAGGUGAUAAAAAGGAACCACAUACUGAUACAUGCUGCAACAUGGAUGAACCUUGAACAUGUUAUGCUAAGUGAAAGAAGACAGUCACAAAAGGUCACAUAUAUUGUAUGAUUCCAUUGAUAUGAAAUUCCCAGAGUAGGUAAUCCAAUGAAACAAAAGAUAGAUUAGUGGUUGCCAGGGGUUGGGGGAGGUAAGAAUAGGGAGUGCAUGCUAAUGGGUAAGAGGGUUGCUUUGAGGGUGAUGAAAAUAUGCUAAAAUUGGUUUUUCAGGUUGCAAAAUUCUGUGAAUCUAUGAAAAACCAUUGAAUCGUGUACAUUAAAAGUGUGAAUUUUGUAGAAUAUGAAUUAUAUCUCAAUAAAUCUGUUAUAAAACAUAUUUUAAAACAAAAAGAUUAUGAAACAAAACAGAAUAAAAUUACAUAUUGCUCUUUUUUGUAAGAAUUUACAAAAUUAUUUAUA